ACCAUCGUUAGUUAGUUAGCUAGUUCAUUAUCACAAAACUGAGAACUGCUCUAGAUUGGAAACUUACGUUAAUGAGUGUAAAGCCAUGUUGGCUUUAUGGAAACGAAUAUAGUUGAGGGAAAUAAUCCAAACCUAGUUAUUAUUUCGAGACAUAUUCAGAGCCAAACAUCAACCCAACUUAACCUUUUAACUGUUGUCGCAUCCAAACUUGUCACCAUCGUUUUCAGUUGUAAUUGCGAAGUUUCCGGAAGAAGUCCAGCAACAACGGAGGUUCCUCGAUGAACCCACCUUCUAACAUGUUCUUUGAAGAACCUUUUGGGGCUGUUUUUCAUUGACCAAGAACCCUAUGGUUCUUAGGGGAUCUCAGAACAACUCCAGUUGAACCCUGUAUUUUUAGAGUUGUAGUCAGAUCCAUUUACUCUCAGAUUCAAAACAUGCUGAUUAGCAUCAAGGAUCAAGUCAGCUGCUGCUGCUCCAACACAGUAUGAGGCUAGUGAUGUCCCAAGGAUGUAUCUCUUGUUGAGGGACUGGUUAGGAAGAACACUUCUACAGCCAGAGAGGGGCAGUCAAGAAAUGGAAUGGCAAGGCUGGAAAAGUGGGAUUGAUCCGUUUGUUUCAGUUUUUGCAGUAGUUGAAUCCUUUCACAUGGGAUUGAUACUGAUUUUCAUACUAAGAG